CUGACACCAGAGGACUUCAUAUAACAUUGCAGCAUUAACAUCUUCACUGGCAGGUUCAUGGACUUUCCCCCUCCUGAAUGUGAUCCAGAGGCCUAAGAGUAUUUCCAUGCCAAGUUCAAGAAGACAGAGGGAAGAGAGGAGUGAGAGGCAGGGCACGAAGUGGGGAACGAAUUGACUCUGCACCUGCAAAUGCCUAGCAGAUUAUAUGUCAAUUUCCAUGUGAAAUGAGAGACCAUGGGGAUUCAUUAUUGCUGGAGUUGAUGGUAUUGCAGUUUUACAACCAUCUAAUAAAUUAGCAUUUAAUACUGAGAGAUUUCA
rnacentral:lncRNA from 1 species